rnacentral:rRNA from 1 species
GAUGAACGCUGGCGGCGUGCCUAACACAUGCAAGUCGAACGGAGAUUACGGACGGAAGUUUUCGGAUGGAAGACUGUAAUUCUUAGUGGCGGACGGGUGAGUAACGCGUGGGCAACCUGCCCUAUACAGGGGGAUAGCAGCUGGAAACGGCUGGUAAGACCGCAUAAGUCGGCGAGACCGCAUGGUUUUGCCGGGAAAUGAGCAAUCAGGUAUAGGAUGGGCCCGCGUCCGAUUAGCCAGUUGGCAGGGUAAAAGCCUACCAAAGCAAGGAUCGGUAGCCGGACUGAGAGGUCGGACGGCCACAUUGGGACUGAGACACGGCCCAAACUCCUACGGGGGGGAGCAGUGGGGGAUAUUGCACGAUGGAGGAAACUCUGAUGCAGCGACGCCGGGUGAGUGAAGAAGUAUUUCGGUAUGUGAAGCUCUAUCAGCAGGGAAGAUGAUGACGGUACCUGACUAAGAAGCCCCGGCUAACUACGUG